GUGCUCUGCCAGCCCUCUCCCACUUCACUCUCUCAUCUCAUCUCAUCAUCCCUCUCUCUCUCUUUCUCAGUCCUGUCUCUCAUCAUCCCUCUUCUCUCUCUCUUUCUCUCAGGCGACCCUCCUACCGGCCACCGCCCACCACUGUCGCACACGAGCACCCACCUCCUCGCCGACGACGGUACAACCCGCCUCCCCACCAGCGACGGUACCACCCAUCUCCCCACCAGAGACGGACAACAGUAGCUACUUUGAUUUGUCUCUCCUCCAGCGCACACCCGGUUAGGGUGAAUACUAUACUGGGAUCUUCAGCGCCAUCUCUAUCAGUAAAACUCAAGCAAGCUUUCAGUUAUGGUUCAAAGGAUGCUUCUAUAAUUGAGAGCCAGGCUAGAUUUAGUUGGAGAGACUGCUCUUUCGUUAUCAGCAAACCAUCUACUAAAGCUGCGUUUAUCAUUUCAAUUGACCACUCCACUUGGGCAUUCAUUUAAACCACUUCAGGGUUUUCUCAAGUUGAAACAUGAGACCAAAGUUGAGCACAUCUUUGUCUUGGGGAACUCUGGUGAAUUGUUUGAAAUAACACUAGUAAGUUCCUCUGAUCAAUCAAAUCUUAAAUUUCAUUUCCUCCUUGUUAGGAUCUACAGAAGUUGAUCAAUUUAGCAACUCACAGAUCUAUAGAACUUUGUAACAAGACUUCAGCAUGAGUUUAUUGAUAUGUUGCAAUGCAAUCUAGUCUGAUAUACUAACCUUAAAAGAAAAUUAAUUAUGAAUUCAACAAGUUAGUUACCUGUUAGUGAUGGUUAGAUGUAGUAGUUUCCUUAUAUAUGUGGCAUUUGGUCUUGUAGGAUUUUCUCAAACUGGUUGAGAAGUUUUUCUAUCUUUCUGGUAGAACUAUACAGAAAAUAUGAAUAAAAAGCUUUAUGGCAUAUUGUGCACACCAUUCUAUUCUAGAAAAUAAAUGAAAUUUGUUAAGAAAUAAGAAUAUUUUGUAAUGUACUUGGAUAUUAGGUUAAAUUAAAGGGAAUUGGAUACCUAGAGACAAACCUAUGUUACUUUCUUUAUUAAAAUUUAUUCAAACAAAGGCGUUAAGGAGGCGAAAAUGCAAAACAGACCCCGAACCACCGUACGGAUGUCACAACCAGCUUCCUCAUGAAAAAUAAGACCUAUGACAGUAGACGGAAUGUAAUUAGCACAUGUAGGUUGGGAGUUAGAGCCGAAAACGCUUUAAACUUAAUCGAAAAAGGGCAUUAAGGGGGAAAAAAUUCUAAGCAGUUCCCGAACCACCGUGUGACUCUCACGGACAGCUUCCCCAUGACAAAUAGGACUUGUGACAACUGACGGAACGUAAUUCGGACGCAUAGGUAGAGAGUUAAAGCCGAAUACGCCCUAAACUUAGGCGAAAAAUGGCAUUUCAGGGGUGAAAAUUCUAAACAGCCCCCGAACGACCAUGUGACUGUCACAGACAGUUUCCCCAUGACAAAUAGGACUUGUGACAACUGACGUAACGUAAUUCGGACCUAUAGGUAGAGAGUUAGAGCUGAAUAUGUCCUAAACUUAGUCGAAAAAGGGCAUUUCGGGGGCGAAAAUUCUAAACAACACCCAAACGACCGUGUGACUGUCACAGACAGCUUCCCCAUGACAAAUAGGACUUGUGACAACUGACGGAACGUAAUUCGGACCCAUAGGUAGAGAGUUCAAGCCGAGUACGUCCUAAACUUAGUCCAAAAAGGCCAUUUCGGGGGCGAAAAUUCUAAACAGCCCCCAAACGAUCGUAUGACUCUCACGGACAGCUUCCCUAUGACGAAUAAGACUUGUGACAAUUGACGGAACGUAAUUCGGACCCGUAAGUAGAGAGAAGCGAGCGGAAUAUGCCUUAAACUUACUCGAAAAAGAGCUUUUUGGGGGCAAAAAUUCAUAACAGCCCCGAAUGACUGUGUGGCUCACACAGAUAGCUUUGCCAUGACAAAUAGGACUUGUGAGAACUGAUGGAACGUAAUUCGAACCCCUAGGUUGGGAGUUAGAGCCGAAUACACCCUAAACUUAGUCGAAAAAGGGUGUUUCGGAAGGGAAAAUUCAAAACAACCUCCGAACGACUGUGUGGCUCACACGAAUAGCUUCGCCAUGACAAAUAGGACUUGUGAGAACUGACAGAACGUAAUUUGGACCCAUAGGUUGGAAGUUAGAGCCGAAUACGCCCUAAACUUAGU